rnacentral:piRNA from 1 species
GUAUCAUUGAAUAACAGGGGACA